UGGUUUGACCGGGUCGCUUUUUUCCGCUUCCCUCCGGUCUCAGAGCUACCCUCGAGCGGCUGUGCUAAGCUGUCCCGGUGUUCCGGGCCGCUACAGGGCUGCUCGGGCCGUAGUACGGCUCGGUAGGGGCUGUUUUCCCGAGCCGGUGUCGCUGGGGCCUGCGAGGCGCUGCCCUCCCGCCGCCUCCUGCUGAGGCCCAGCGGGGAAGGGAGGGGCGGAAAGGAAUUCCUUAACAUCACUGGGGCGCUCAGGGGGGGAUCGCGGUGAUCUCCGUGCUGCUGUCACAGCUCCCUUCUGCUGUGUGUGUUUGUCCGUGGCUUGGGGAUGUGCGUGGCUGUGAAAUGGUGCUAGCUCACCUCUGCAGGAUGCCGCACAAGAUUGGUUUUAUAGUCGUUAGCUCAUCAGGACAUGAAGAUGGCUUCAGUGCAAAAGAGCUGAUGUUUCACGCUCCAACAGUGAAUGGAUGGCGAUCCCCAAGACUCUGUCAGUAUCCACAAGAAAUCGUUCUGCAGUUGGUGGAGAGAUGUCGAAUACGAAAACUGCAGCUGCUUGCUCACCAGUACAUGAUUUCAAGCAAAAUUGAGUUCUUCAUCAGUGAAAGCUUGCCUGAAUACUUUGCUCCUUAUCAGUCAGAGAGGUUUCACAGACUGGGUUAUGUCCCUCUCUCAGACAAUGAAAAGACGGGUUUCAAAGCUCGAGAGUUAAAAUCUGUUUAUAUGGAUGCAGUUGGCCAGUACCUGAAGCUGAUUUUCCAUAAAAAUUAUGUCAAUAAAUACAACUUGUACAGUCAGGUUGCCCUAGUAGCUAUAAAUGUUAUUGGAGAUCCAGCAGACUACGGUAGUGACAGCAAUAAUCAUCCUUCCAGAGAGAAGCUGAUAGACCACUACUUAGGAAGUAAAUCAGAUGAUCCUGCCUUGGAUGGAACGUACCUGGGGAAGCUUGACUCCAUUUCACCUCUGGAUGAUUUGGCUUUUGACAUGUACCAGGAUCCGGAAGUUGCUCAGAUAAUACGCAGACUAGAUGAGAAGAAGCGUGAAGCUGUCCAUCAGGAACACUAUGAUUAUGCCAAGAAACUCAAACAAGCUAUUGCAGACUUGCAGAAGGUAGGGGAACGACUUGGACGGUACGAAGUAGAGAAACACUACGCUGUAGAGAAAGAGGAUUAUGAUCUUGCUAAAAAGAAAAAGCAGCAAAUGGAAGCGUACCGCCUGAAAGUCUAUCAGCAACUGCAGCUCCACGACCUUCUGGAUGCAGAGCUGAUGACUCGGAAGCUACCUGAACUGUCUGUAGAGCCUCUGAUUUAUGAUGACAGCCUUCAGCCCACGAAAGCUACAAAUUCACCUUCCUGCGAGAACACAGAAUUGCAAAGUUCACAGGGAGAGCUGUGGAAAACAGAGUAUUUGCUGGAAGAGAAGCCAGUAGAACCCACUUCCCCUGAGCCUGUUUUUCGCCAUCAGUCUACUCCUCCCACUCUGUCUCAUCCUGCAACCUCUAGGGAAGUGUUUUCCCAAGAAGAGGUUGAAUUUUUACCUUAUGAUGAGAGACCUCUUCCAGCCACCCGUAAGCACUCUGAGGAAGCAAUUAGAUACCUUGAGCCAGAGAAGACUGAAGGGGACGUGAGUAAUACACCAAGAAGUGGCAUUACUGGGGAACCAGAACCACUAACUGAGAAGGCACUGAGGGAGGCCAGCCCUGCUAUUGAAGUUUUUGGAGAAGCUUUGGUCUCAGGAGCAUAUUCCAAAAGUUGGUCGUAUCGAGAAGAUGCAUUACUGGCUGUAUAUAAGAAGCUGAUGGAAAUGUCAGUAAGCACUCCAAAGGAGGACUUAAAGAACAUGCUGAGGGCUGCUAUUUUUCUUGUAAGAAGAGCCAUAAAAGACAUAGUAUCUUCGGUUUUUCAAGCUUCCCUGAAACUUUUAAAAAUGAUCAUUACUCAAUACGUACCAAAACAUAAACUGGGAAAACCAGAAACUUUUCAUUGUGUGGAAAAAACGCUUCCAAGUUUGCUUUCCAGAACAGGAGACUCUUCAUCCCGCCUUCGCCUCGUGGCUUCUAAAUUUAUUCAGGAAAUGGCGCUGUGGAGCGAAGUUAAACCUCUUCAGAUUGUUCCAGUUCAUUUGGUUCAACCCUUAAAACCAAACUCCCCAACACAUCUGGCAAUGAGUCAAGUGGAAUUAGUUGAAUGCCUCUUGAAAGAGAUGGGAACUGAAAACUCUGGGUUUACCGUCAGCAAUGUCAUGAAGUUUGCAACAGGAGCUUUGGAGCACAGAGUUUAUGAGGUUCGUGAUGUAGCGCUGCGGAUUGUCUUCGAUAUGUACAGGAAACACAAAGCUGCUGUGCUGGAAUAUCUUCCUCCAGAUGAUGCAAGCAUUCGCAAGACUGUUCUCUAUAAAACACUCUUUGAUGGAUUUACUAAAAUAGAUGGUAAACUUUCUGAAGCUGAAAUUAGGGCACAAAAAAAGGCAGCAACAGAAGAAGCAGAGAGACGGAAGAAGGAAGAAAUAAAAGUUCUGCAAGGUCAGCUGGCAGCUCUAAAGGAGAUACAAGCAGAAGUUCAGGCUGGAAAGGAAAAAGAGUCUGAUUUCCAGAAGACAAAAGAUCAAGGUUACAAAAGUCCCCAGCCUGUAGCAGCAGAGAUUCCAGAUGAUCAUUCCUCUGUUGCAAAUUACUUGGAUAAUUUAUGCAUUUUUUGUGGUGAAAGGAAUGAAGCCUUCACAGAGGAAGGACUGGAUCUCCACUACUGGAAACGCUGUCCCAUGUUAACCAGAUGCGAGCACUGCAAACAGGUGGUAGAAAUAGCAAGCCUGACAGAGCAUUUGUUGACUGAGUGUGAUAAGAAGGACAGCUUUGGGAAAUGUCAGCGCUGCAGUGAAGCCUUUCUGAAGGAUGAGUUGCCCAAACAUAUUAAGAGCAAGACUUGCAAUGCUGCCAAACCAGAAAAUGUGGCAAACCAUUGCCCACUGUGCCAUGGCAACUUUUCUCCUGGAGAGGAGCAUAUUACUGUGAAAUCUCUUAACGUGCCAGCUCCAGAACGUUCUUUCAGCAACUGAAAAUAAUUGCUGGUGGCUCAUCAAAAGUUAGUCGUUCAGAAAAUACUGAGCAUGCAUAUUUCAGCCCUUGAAACGAAUCAUCUAAUAUCAUGCCUGGAAGUCACACCUGAUGGGCACGGAUGGCUGUGACAUGAAUCUACGAAGGCUGUCCUCACUAAAUAAAACUAUUCCGAUGCAGCCUG